AAACUAACAAGGAUUCCCCUAGUAACGGCGAGUGAACCGGGAAGAGCUCAAAUUUGAAAUCUGGCGUCCUCAGGGCGUCCGAGUUGUAAUCUAUAGAGGCGUUUUCCGUGCCGGACCGUGUCCAAGUUCCUUGGAACAGGAUAUCAAAGAGGGUGACAAUCCCGUACUUGACACGAUGACCGGUGCUCUGUGAUACGUCUUCUACGAGUCGAGUUGUUUGGGAAUGCAGCUCAAAAUGGGUGGUGAGUUCCAUCUAAAGCUAAAUAUUGGCGAGAGACCGAUAGCGAACAAGUACCGUGAGGGAAAGAUGAAAAGCACUUUGGAAAGAGAGUUAAACAGUACGUGAAAUUGUUGAAAGGGAAACGAUUGAAGUCAGUCGUGACUGAGAGGCUCAGCCGGUUCUGCCGGUGUAUUCCCCUCAGUCGGGUCAACAUCAGUUUUGUCCGGUGGAAAAGGGCGGUAGGAACGUGGCACCUCCGGGUGUGUUAUAGCCUGCCGUCGCAUACAUCGGGUGAGACUGAGGAAUGCAGCUCGCCUUUAUGGCCGGGGUUCGCCCACGUCCGAGCUUAGGAUGUUGACAUAAUGGCUUUAAACGAC
rnacentral:rRNA from 1 species